UACGAAGGGGGCGAGCGUUGUUCGGAUUUACUGGGCGUAAAGGGCGCGCAGGCGGCUCAUCAAGUCAGGCGUGAAAGCCCCGGGCUUAACCUGGGAGGUGCGUCUGGGACUGGUGGGCUAGAGAUCGGGAGAGGAGAGUGGAAUUCCCGGUGUAGCGGUGAAAUGCGCAGAUAUCGGGAAGAGCACCCGUGGCGAAGGCGGCUCUCUGGGACGGUACUGACGCUGAGACGCGAAAGCGUGGGGAGCGAACAGG
rnacentral:rRNA from 1 species